AAAGAGAGAAAGGGGUGAAAGGGCCCCACGUGGCCUUAUUUCCCCUGAAAACUCCUUCCACAGCCACACAUUUCUUUCUUCUUUCUUUUGUUCCUUUCCUUUACUUCUGUGUUUUGUUUGGGUGCUGGAGAAACUGAGAAACAGAGGAUGAGAUAAAAGAGAGACAGAACAGAGCGAGCUGAGGAAGAAACGAAGCAGGAGAGGAAGGCUAGGCUCGGGUUCUUGAAGGAUCGAGGAGAUUGAAUUCUUGCACUCUGAAGGUUCGACCCAGUGAGUAUCUUUCUUGGAGUUGUCGACGAGUACUUCAUUCUAUUGUGAAAUGAUAUAUAUAGAUAUAUAUGUUAUGUGAGUUCUUUAUCCAUUGUGAAAUAAUAUAUAUAUAUGUACAUAUAUGUUGUACUUCAUUCCAUUGUGAAAUGAUAUAUAUAUAUAUAUAUAUGUUAUGUGAGUACUCUAUUCUCUUGUGAAAUGAUGUAUUAUAGUUAUAUAAAUUAUUUAAGAAGAAUAUUGUGAUAGUUAAAUUAAUGAAUUGGUCUUGCUAUGUUGUGUGAA